UUUCUUUUUGGGCAGAGUACCCCGUAGAGCUAAGGGAGGUUUCGCUUUCCGUCGCCAUGUUAAGUUCAGGCAACGGCUUCAGAGGUCAGUGGUGCUCUAGUCCUGGGAUCACCUGAGAUCGAGACCAAACUUUGCUCCCUCGACCAGAGGGCCGGGCUAGCGAGGCUGAGGCGCGGACCAUCCCAGUCACUAAGAGAUAUCCUAUUGGAAUCAAUAUUGAUGGGAUCUAACAAGCUUAUUGUUAAGUGUAGGAACUUUGCUGUGUUAGUAGAUCUUCAUAUUUUGCCUCAAGGCUCAAGAAAAGAAACCAGCUGGUUUUCAGAACAGAUGAAAAAGGUACAACAAAAAUUCCAAUUUUAAGGACAAAAUGACUAUGGGAGAAAACAUUGCCUAGCACUAAUCUGCUUAGAUUCUACUUUACUAAUUAGGUAAAAAUGAUAAAGAUAAUGCCUAAGCUUGAAAAAUCCUACUGUAGCACUCUUAUUUCCCCCAAGAAAUAUUUUGUUGUUUCUCA
rnacentral:lncRNA from 1 species